AUCUCAGUAUGAUAAUUUAGAAAAAGCUGACAGAGAUAAUGCCAUGUUAACAGCCUUAAAGAUUGAAAUCAUUAAGAUCCCUGAAAAUAGCUACAACA
rnacentral:snoRNA from 1 species